rnacentral:rRNA from 1 species
GACGAACGCUGGCGGCGUGCUUAACACAUGCAAGUCGAACGGUAAGGCCCUUCGGGUACACGAGUGGCGAACGGGUGAGUAACACGUGGGUGAUCUGCCCUGCACUUCGGGAUAAGCCUGGGAAACUGGGUCUAAUACCGGAUAGGACUCCUGGCUUCAUGGUUGGGGGUGUAAAGCUUUUGCGGUGUGGGAUGGGCCCGCGGCCUAUCAGCUUGUUGGUGGGGUAAUGGCCUACCAAGGCGACGACGGGUAGCCGGCCUGAGAGGGUGACCGGCCACACUGGGACUGAGAUACGGCCCAGACUCCUACGGGAGGCAGCAGUGGGGAAUAUUGCACAAUGGGCGCAAGCCUGAUGCAGCGACGCCGCGUGAGGGAUGACGGCCUUC